ensembl:lncRNA
GUUUCUGAUCACUUUGGAGACUGUAACAUUAGAAGAGGGAAAACUUUUGGGACUCUCAUGGAGAGCUGAAAUGUUCAUGAGUAUCAAGCAGAACAGGAGCUGUGCUUUUGUAAAGCCCUGCGAACUGAAGCUUGACAACUUAAACUUCAGAAGCAAUAACAGCAACCCAUUUACAAACGUAAGCCACUUUCAUACCUGCCUAAUGAUGUAUGGACUCCAGAGUAAUGUGGCCUAUAUUAAUUUUCCAGGAUUAUUCUUUUGUUUGUGAUUGCUUUUCUCCCUUACUCCCCUAUUCUCUCUUCAUAGGACAUGAGACUUUACAACCUGUUAAAAAUGAACUUUCCUAAUACCUUGGGAUCUACCUGUCUAGGAAUAAACUAUCCUAAUCAUGAAAGAUCAGAUGAAAUCUGAUACCAGACACUCAUUUUCUUCUAAAAUGCUUGUCCAAAAGAUUUUUGAAAAGAGAAGGGGGAAAAUGUGAAUGGAAAAGAAGUUGUGGGGCCCCCAAAUCGCUAAGCUAAAGGGAAAAGUCAAGUUUGGAACAGAAUAGGGCCAAUCUGCCUCCCAUUCUAUUAAAAGUCACCCUUCAGCUCACUGAGAUAAAUACACGUCUAAUUGCCUCCGUUGGAGAGGUUAAUCAGAAACUCAAAAGAAUGCAACCAUUUGUCUCUUAUCUACCUAUGACUUGGAAGCCCCCUCCCUGCUUUGCUUUGAGCUGUCCUGCCUUUAUAGACCGAACCCAGUGUUCUUCUUGCAUAUGUUGACUGAUGCCUCAUGUCUCCCUAGAAUGUAUAAAACCAAACUGUGCUCUGACCACCUUGGACACGUGUUGUUAGGACACAUAACCUCUUGAAUUCUGUCAAGGUCACAUGUCUUCAACCUUGGCAAAAUAAACUUUGUAAAUUAACUGAGACUUGUUUCAGAUUUUCAGUGUCCACAUCACCCAUCAAAUGGGCACAUUAAUAAAUUCUACUUCAUGGAGUAGUUGUAAUGAUUAAAUGUAGUCAUCCAUGUGAAUAUACACUGUAAAGUGCUUUAAAAUUAUAAAAGUAUUAUAUUUCUGGCCCAAACAUUAUUUCUGGGAGAAAGAGGAAAUAAAAGAAAACUUAGGCAAAAAUUCCAAUAGUUUAGAAUUCUGUAAUACCAUGACCAGAUGACAGUACAAAUAACUAGGGUGUAUUAGACAACUCCUGCAAUAAUAAUACUGGGGAAAAAAUCCUCAAUUUUAGUGGCUUACAAUAACAAACUUUAUUUCUGUUUCCCAUGGGUUUGUGGGUAGGCUGCAAUUCAGCUCAUCUUGACUAGGAUUGGCUGUGUCAGGUUGGACUAUAGGCUUCAUGUUCAUAUGUGUGAUGUAUAACUUCCACAUUCUGAGAUCAGAAGCUACUUGUGCAAUGUACUUCUCAUGGCGGAUGGCAGAAUUGCAAGGGACCAAGCCAAACCAUCUGAGCACAUUUAAACCUGCUGCUUAUCCAUAACUAAUAUUCCAUUGUCCAAAGCAAGGUGCAUGGCCAAACCUUAAAUCAAUGGAGUAGGGAAAUAAACCGCGUCUCCUCUAGUGGGACGCACAACACAGUAAAUGCAUAGAUAUAUAAUUCUAUUACAAGGAGGGAGUAAAGAGUUGGAAAAAUCAAUUCUAUUUACAAUAUGGGAAAUUUUCUUUUUUUAAAGACAAAAGAAACCUUUUAUCAUCUCUCCCUCCAAGAUACAACAUACUAUAUAUAUAGCAACAGUAUGGGAACUUUUCUUACAUCAAAUUUGCAUUAGCCAAAAUCAUAAAAUAACUUUGUUUUCAACCCCCCAUAUAUAAACGAUUGUUGUUAAAAUAUUGGUAUGUUGUAUAUGAUAAAUACCCAUAAAUUAUAUUAUUAAAAAAUAGGAUCAGACUUUGAAAGACUUUGAGAACCAUGACAAGUUUAGCCUUGACCCAGGAAUAACAGAAAGCUACUUAGGCCCCUUUAACUUUCUAUUCAAAGAUCCCAAAAUGACCUUACACCUGUGUCUCACUACAAUGUUAGCCCAGGUGUACAUGCCAACCAAAUUUGUUUUAUCCUCCUUGCCCACACCUAGUUGGGCUCUCAGUACACUAGUCAGAGAUAGUUACAUAUCAAAUUUUGCUGACUUAUUUUAAAAUUAUGAUCAUUACUCAAUGUAUAUAUUUAUCAAAACAUCACACUGUACCCCAUAAAUAUGUAUAAUUACUAUGUGUCAAUUAAAACCAAAAUAAAACAAAAAUAUUUUUUAAAAUAAUGUUUUCAUGCACAUUCACAUACAUGUCUUUGUAGAGUCAUAUCCUUUCACUUACCUUGGAUAAAUAACUAGGAGUGAAAUGGCUGUGUCAUAUGAAACCUAAAAUAUAUUUGGAAGGAGGCUGAGGCAGGAGAAUUGCCUGAUCCCAGGAGGCAGAGGUUGCGGUGAGCCGAGAUCCUGCCAUUGCACUCCAGCCUGGGUAACAAAAGCAAAACUGCGUCUCAAAAAAAAAAAAUAUAUAUAUAUAUAUUUGGAAACGCUAAAGAUUUUCUGUCAUUCCCAAAGUAUUAGCAUCAGAGGCCUUGUUCAUAGGUGCAGAGGUAAGGGGCAUUAAAACAUCAUGUAUUUGUAAGUAGAGGUUUGCCAGUGGUUGGGAAACAAUUCUUCAUGAGUAUUUCACAUUCUGAGCAAAGGCACUGACAACUUUAGUUCUAAACUUUUUUCUAAGGAUAUCUGUAUAAUACAGAGCCAGGACUAGAGUGACGCAAACAUGGAAUCCAGGAUUCAAACCUUAAAAAGACAUGGUAGCACAAAGAAUGAAAAAAAGCAAGUGGGGUGACAGCCCACCCAGGAGUGGCAUGGAGCCCAAGGAACCCCCACCUCUAGCCAAGGGAAACAGUGAGUGAUUGUGCAGUCACACCCAGGAAACCACACUUCUCCCAUGGAUCUUUGCAACCAGCAGAUCAGAAGAUCCCCUCAUAAGCCCAUGUCACCAGGGCUUUGGGUCCAAUAGAAGAACUGCAUGGUGGCCUGGCAAAGCAGCUGCUCAGGUACAUACAGAGGUUCAGGAGUCUUGCAUAUUCCUGCCCUGGGAUUCCUGACAAGGCAGGAGAUUCAUUACUAUAUAUCCCUUGUAGGAGGGCUGAAUCCAGGGAGCCAAGCAGUGUCAUUCUGCAGGCCCCACUUCCAUGGUACCUCGUAAGUUAAGACCCACUGGCUUGGAAUUCCAGCCAGCCAGCUGCCACAGGCUGGAGUCAGCCCAGUAAAACAACUGAGUUCCCAUGGGGAGGGGCAGCUACUAACUCUGCAGUUUGAUCAACUCAGGUAUUCCAGCCUGCCAGCUCUAGAGAGUCCAGAUAGUCCAGAUGAGGAAGGAUUCCCCACAACACAGCACAGCUGUGCUACCAAAAUGCAGCCAGACUGCUUCUUUAAGUGGGUCCUGAUUUCAUACCUCCUGACUGGGUGAGACCUCCCAACAGGGGUCUCCAGGCACCUCCUACAGGCACAGUUCAGGCUGGCAACAGGUCAGUAUCCACCCUGGGACAGAGCUUCCAGAGAAAGAAGUCAGGCUGCCAUCUUUGCUGUUUUGCAGCCUUCAUUGGUGAUACCUCCAGGUACAGGAAAAAACAACACAACUAGGGUCUGGAGCAGACCCCCAGCAAAGACCCCCAGCAAACCACAGCACUCCUAUGGAAGAGUGGCUUCACUGUUAAAAGACAAACGGGAAACAACAACAAAAACAACAACAUCGACAAAAAAGACCCCACAAAAACCCUAUUCAUAGGUCAGAAACCUCAAAGAUCAAAGGUAGUUAAGCCCACAAAGAUGUGAAAAAAAUCAAUGCGAAAAUGCUGAAAACUCAAAAAGCCAGAGUGUCUCAUCUCCUCCAAAUGAGUGCAACACCUCGCCAGCAAGGGCACAGAACUGGACCGAGGCUGAAAUGGCAGAAUUGACAGAAGUAGGCUUCAGAAGGUGGGUAAUAACAAACCUCACUGAGUUAAUGGAGUAUGUUGUAACCCAAUGCCAAGAAGCUAAGAAUCAUGAUUAAACAAUAUAGGAACUGAUAGCCAGUUUAGAAAGAAACAAAACUGACCUAAAGAGCUGAAAAACAUGAGAACUUCACAAUGCAAUCACAAGUAUCAAUAGCAGGAUAGACCAAGUGGAGGAAAGAAUCUCAGAGUUUGAAGACUAUCUUUAUGAAAUAAGACAGGCAGAUAAGAAUAGAGAAAAAAGAAUGAAAAUGAACUAAACCUCUGAGAAAUAAGGGAUUAUGUAAAAAGACUGAACCUACAACUGACUGGGGUACCCAAAAGAGAUGGGGAGAAUGGAACCAAGUUGUAAAACAUACUUCAGGAUAUCAUCCAGGAGAACUUCCCCAACCUAGCAAGACAGGCCAACAUUCAAAUUCAGGAACUGCAGAGAACCCCAGUAAGAUACUUCAUGAGAUGAUCAACUCCACAACACAUUAUCAUCAAAUUUUCCAAGGUCAAAAUGAAUGAGAAAACAUUAAGGGUGGCCAAAGUCCAGGUCACCUAAAAAGGAAACACAUCAGAUUAACAGGGGGCCUCUCAGCAGAAGCCCUACAAGCCAGAAGAGAUUAGGAGCCGAUAUUCAAUAUUCCUAAAGAAAAAAAUUUCCAACACAGAUUAUCAUAGGCGGCCAAUCUAAGCUUCAUACAAAGGAGAAAUAAAAUCCUUUUCAGACAAGCAAAUGCUGAGGGAAUUUGUCACCACCAGGCCUGCCUUGCAAGAGCUCCUGAAAGAAGCACUAAAUAUGGAAAGGAAAAACUAUUACAAGACACUAAAGAAGUACACUGAA